UGAUUUAAAAAAAUUUUUUUCUCUGAUUGAGGUGGAGCAGAAGAUAAGCAGAAUAAAAAUAAGAAAAAUGAACAAGCUGUUUUUGUAGAUAAAGUAAUGAGUAGAACAGAUUUAACUGAUGAAGAAAAAACAAAUUCUAGUUGAUUACUAUCAGAUGUUAGAUGACUAUUUGGACGAUGAUUGAGACUAACUAAAACCACCCCGUGGGGUAGUUUUUAAUUUUAAGAACUAACCUUGUCUUAGUCUAAGCUAGCUCAUUUUAGUGUUCUUUUAACAGCUUCGUUUCAACGCUUUGAUUUCUUUUCCCGCACAGUUUGGUUCAUUUGACUUUUGAACUGCUUAGCGAUUCCAGUUAGUUUUUCUAGUUGUUUAGUGUCCUUUCAAUAAUUAACUGCUAAACCAGCUAGGAAGGCCGCACCCAUGGCAGUGGUUUCCACAUUCUUAGGAAUAAUCACCUCUAAGUUAGCAAUAUCAGCUUGAAAUUGCAUUAAAUAGUUGGAAUUGCAAGCACCGCCAUCAGCCUUAAUUUUUUUAAUAGAACUGUUUAAAUCACUAGCCAUUGCCUUAAUCAGGUCAUUAGCUUGAAAGGCAAUUGCUUCCAAGGUAGCUUUUACUAAAUGUUCCCUUUUGGUAUUAGCUUCUAUCCCAAAGAUGGCGCCUCUUGCUGAAGCAUCCCAGUAAGGUGCGCCUAAACCAGUGAAGGCUGGGACAAACACCACUUCCUGUUCUUCCUUUUGUGCUAGCUUAGCAUAAAAGUCACUUUCAGCUGCCGAGUACAUUACCUUAAGACUAUCCCUUAAUCACUUUAAGGCUGCGCCAGCCACAAAAACACUACCUUCUAAGGCAUACACCGGUUUUUGGUUUUCUAACUGCCAAGCUACAGUUGUUAAUAAGUUAUGUUGGGAGUAUUUCAGUUCGUUACCGAUGUUCAUCAACAUAAAACAACCUGUACCAUAGGUGUUUUUAACCAUCGCUGGUUCCACGCAGAGCUGACCAAACAAGGCUGCUUGUUGGUCACCGGCAACCCCACGAAUAGGUACCAUACCAGUAGCACUAGUAGAUCAAUGACUCGGUACUAUGUCACCAAAGUGGGCAUUGGAUGGCAUCACUUUGGGUAGGAUUGAUAAAGGUACUUUAAAGAUGUCGCCUAACUCUUGUGAUCAUGUCAUGGUGGUAAUGUCAAACAAGAGCGUACGCGAUGCAUUACUUACAUCAGUUACAUGCAUCUUACCACCCGUUAGUUUUCAAAUUAACCAGGUAUCA
rnacentral:sRNA from 1 species